UACGAAGGGGGCUAGCGUUGUUCGGAAUUACUGGGCGUAAAGCGCGCGCAGGCGGUCUUCCAAGUCAGUGGUGAAAGCCCGGAGCUCAACUCCGGAACUGCCAUUGAAACUGUUAGACUUGAGGAUGAGAGAGGUGAGUGGAAUUCCCAGUGUAGAGGUGAAAUUCGUAGAUAUUGGGAAGAACACCGGUGGCGAAGGCGGCGAUCUGGGUAGAUACUGACGCUGAGGUGCGAAAGCGUGGGGAGCAAACAGG
rnacentral:rRNA from 1 species